AGUGAACGCUGGCGGCGUGCUUAACACAUGCAAGUCGAACGAGAACGGAUUAUAGCUUGCUAUAAUUGUCAGCUAAGUGGCGCACGGGUGAGUAAUGUAUAGGUAAUAUGCCUCUUACUAAGGGAUAACAAAUGGAAACGUUUGCUAAUACCUUAUACUCCUUAUUAACAGAAGUUAAUAAGGGAAAGAUUUAUUGGUAAGAGAUUAGCCUGUAUUGUAUCAGCUAGUUGGUGGGGUAAUGGCUUACCAAGACUAUGACACAUAACUGGUUUGAGAGGAUGAUCAGUCACACUGGAACUGAGACACGGUCCAGACUCCUACGGGAGGCAGCAGUGGGGAAUAUUGCACAAUGGACGAAAGUCUGAUGCAGCAACGCCGCGUGGAGGAUGACACAUUUCGGUGCGUAAACUCCUUUUAUAUGAGAAGAUAAUGACGGUAUUAUAUGAAUAAGCACCGGCUAACUCCGUGCCAGCAGCCGCAGUAAAAC
rnacentral:rRNA from 1 species